rnacentral:rRNA from 1 species
AAACCAGCACCUCAAGUGGUCAGGAUGAUUAUUGGGCCUAAAGCAUCCGUAGCCGGCUCUGUAAGUUUUCGGUUAAAUCUGUACGCUUAACGUACAGGCUGCUGGGAAUACUGCAGAGCUAGGGAGUGGGAGAGGUAGACGGUACUCGGGAGGAAGUGGUAAAAUGCUUUGAUCUCUCGAUGACCACCUGUGGCGAAGGCGGUCUACCAGAACACGUCCGACGGUGAGGGAUGAAAGCUGGGGGAGCAAACAGGAUUAGAAACCCUAGUAGUCC